GGCCCACUAGCUCAACUGGCAGAGCAGCGGACUCUUAAUCCGCGGGUUCGGGGUUCGAAUCCCUGGUGGGUCA
rnacentral:tRNA from 5 species